rnacentral:ncRNA from 2 species
GCUCCGCAUCAAGAGUUGGGGCGACGCCCGACGCCAACCUGCCGAUCCGGGCAAGGUGGCACUCCCGCAAGGGAGGAUGUGGCCGAUCCGGCAAUCCCACGGACCUCA